UACGUAGGGUGCGAGCGUUGUCCGGAAUUAUUGGGCGUAAAGAGCUCGUAGGCGGUCUGUCGCGUCGGUCGUGAAAACUUGGGGCUUAACCCUGAGCUUGCGGUCGAUACGGGCAUGACUGGAGUUCGGCAGGGGAGACUGGAAUUCCUGGUGUAGCGGUGAAAUGCGUAGAUAUCGGGAGGAACACCAGUGGCGAAGGCGACUACCUGGCCUGUUCUUGACGCUGAGGCGCGAAAGCUGGGGGAGCAAACGGGG
rnacentral:rRNA from 1 species